rnacentral:rRNA from 1 species
AGUCACUGACAUUAGAUACCCCUGUAGUCCCAGCUGUAAACGAUGCAGACUAGGUGUUUGGACGGCCACGUGCCGUUCUAGUGCCGCAGGGAAGCUGUUAAGUCUGCCGCCUGGGGAGUACGAUCGCAAGAUUGAAACUUAAAGGAAUUGGGCGGGGGAGCACCACAAGGGGGUGAAGCUUGCGGUUUAAUUGGAGUCAACGCCGGAAAUCUCACCGGGAGCGACAGCAGUGUGAUAGCCAGAUUAAAGGUCUUGCUAGACGAGCUG